rnacentral:rRNA from 1 species
GAACACCAAAGGCGAAGGCAUUGCACUGGGCUGGUACUGACCCUGAGAGACGAAAGCGUGGGGAGCAAAACGGAUUAGAUACCCGUGUAGUCCACGCCGUAAACGAUGGAUACUAGAUGUUCGGGGAUUCGACCCCCUGGGUGUCACAGCUAACGCGUUAAGUAUCCCGCCUGGGAAGUACGGCCGCAAGGCUAAAACUCAAAGGAAUUGACGGGGAUCCGCACAAGCGGUGGAGCGUCUGGUUUAAUUUGAUAGUAAGCAAUGGACCUCACCAAGGUUUGACAUCCUAUGACAACCCUGGAAACAGGGCUUCCUUCGGGCAUAGUGACAGGUGCUGCAUGGUCGUCGUCAGUUCGUGCCGUGAGGUGUUCCGUUAAGUCGGGAAACGAACGAAACCCUCGUCGCAUGUUACAAAUUUCAUGCGAGACUGCCCGGGUCAACCGGGAGGAAGGCGGGGAUGACGUCAGAUCAGCAUGGCCCUUAUACCUUGGGCUACACAGGCGCUACAAUGGCCGGUACAAAGGGUUGCAAAACCGCGAGGUGAAGCUAAUCCCAUAAAGCCGGUCCAAGUUCGGAUUGGAGGCUGCAACUCGCCUCCAUGAAGUUGGAAUCGCUAGUAAUCGUGGAUCAGCCAUACCACGGUGAAUACGUUCCCGGAUCUUGUACUCACCGCCCGUCACACCAAGAGAGUUGGUAGCUCCUGAAGCGUCGCAUUAGCGGCACCACGGAGAGAUCAGCGAUAGGGGUGAAGUCGUAACAAGGUAACCAAGGGCGAA